AUUGAACGCUGGCGGCAUGCUUUACACAUGCAAGUCGAACGGUAACAGGUUAAGCUGACGAGUGGCGAACGGGUGAGUAAUGCGUCGGAACGUGCCCGAUCGUGGGGGAUAACACCUCGAAAGAAGUACUAAUACCGCAUACGAUCUGAGGAUGAAAGCGGGGGACCGUAAGGCCUCGCGCGAUCGGAGCGGCCGAUGUCAGAUUAGGUAGUUGGUGGGGUAAAGGCUCACCAAGCCGAGGAUCUGUAGCUGGUCUGAGAGGACGACGAGCCAGACUGGGACUGGGACACGGGCCAGACACCUACGGGAGGCAGCAGUGGGGAAUUUUGGACAAUGGGCGCAAGCCUGAUCCAGCAAUGCCGCGUGCAGGAAGAAGGCCUUCGGGUUGUAAACUGCUUUUGUACGGAGCGAAAAGGCUCCCUCUAAUACAGGGGGCUCAUGACGGUACCAUAAGAAUAAGCACCGGCUACCUACGUGCCAGCCGCCGCCGCAG
rnacentral:rRNA from 1 species